GGCCAGCAGCCGCGGUAAUACGGGGGGGGCAAGCGUUGUUCGGAAUUACUGGGCGUAAAGGGCUCGUAGGCGGCCAACUAAGUCAUACGUGAAAUCCCUCGGCUUAACCGGGGAACUGCGUCUGAUACUGGAUGGCUUGAGUUCGGGAGAGGGAUGCGGAAUUCCAGGUGUAGCGGUGAAAUGCGUAGAUAUCUGGAGGAACACCGGUGGCGAAGGCGGCAUCCUGGACCGAUACUGACGCUGAGGAGCGAAAGCCAGGGGAGCAAACGGGAUUAGAUACCCCGGUAGUCCUGGCCCUAAACGAUGAAUGCUUGGUGUGGCGGGUAUCGAUCCCUGCCGUGCCGAAGCUAACGCAUUAAGCAUUCCGCCUGGGGAGUACGGUCGCAAGGCUGAAACUUAAAGGAAUUGGCGGGGGAC
rnacentral:rRNA from 1 species